rnacentral:rRNA from 1 species
ACNGGGAUUGCCUUAGUAACGGCGAGUGAAGCGGCAACAGCUCAAAUUUGAAAUCUGGCGCUUUCAGCGUCCGAGUUGUACUUUGCAGAAGGCGCUUUGGCGUUGGCAGNGGUCCAAGUUCCUUGGAACAGGUCGUCACAGAGGGUGAGAAUCCCGUACGUGGCCGCGUGUCUUCGCCGUGUAAAGCCCCUUCGACGAGUCGAGUUGUUUGGGAAUGCAGCUCUAAAUGGGAGGUAAAUUUCUUCUAAAGCUAAAUACUGGCCAGAGACCGAUAGCGCACAAGUAGAGUGAUCGAAGGAUGAAAAGCACUUUGGAAAGAGAGUCAAACAGCACGUGAAAUUGUUGAAAGGGAAGCGCUU